CCUACGGGUGGCAGCAGUGAGGGAUAUUGGACAAUGGGGGCAAGCCUGAUGCAGCGAAGUCGCGUGAGCGAAGAAGUAUUUCGGUAUUUAAAACCCUAUCGGCAGGGGAGCAGAAAUGACGGUGCCUGAGUAAGAAGCACCAGCUAAAUACGUGCCAGCAGCCGCGGUAAUACGUAGGGUGCAAGCGUUAUCCCGAUUUACUGGGUGUAAAGGGAUCGCCGGCGGCACGGUAAGCCGGAGGUGAAAGCUCGCGGCCUAACCGUGUGCCGGCAUGGGGAACUAGCGGGCUGGAGUGCCGGAGAGGUAUGCGGAAUGCAUAGUGUAGCGGUGAAAUGCGUAGAUAUCAGGCGGAACACCAGUUGCGAAGGCGGCAUACCGGAGGGCGACUGACGCUGAGGCGCGAAAGUGUGGGGAGCAAACAGGAUUAGAUACCCGAGUAGUC
rnacentral:rRNA from 1 species